rnacentral:rRNA from 1 species
GUGGAUUAGAUACCCUAGUAGUCCACGCUGUAAACGAUGGAUACUAGGUGUGGGAGGUAUCGACCCCUUCCGUGCCGGAGUUAACACAAUAAGUAUCCCACCUGGGGAGUACGGCCGCAAGGUUGAAACUCAAAGGAAUUGACGGGGGCCCGCACAAGCAGUGGAGUAUGUGGUUUAAUUCGAAGCAACGCGAAGAACCUUACCAGGGCUUGACAUCCCGUGCAUAGUGUAGAGAUACAUGAAGUCCUUCGGGACACGGAGACAGGUGGUGCACGGCUGUCGCCAACU